GAUGAAGAACGCAGCGAAAUGCGAUAAGUAAUGCGAAUUGCAGAAUUCAGUGAAUCAUCGAAUCUUUGAACGCACAUUGCGCCCGCUAGUAUUCUGGCGGGCAUGCCUGUCUGAGCGUCAUUUCAACCCUCGCCCCCGGCUUUUGCUGGGAGCGGUGUUGGGGAUCGGCCGCCCGUCACUGGGAGGCCGGCCCCGAAAUAGAGUGGCGACCACGCCGUGUGCUCCUCUGCGUAGUAGUAAAUCACCUCGCAGGCGGACAGCGGUGCGGCCUGCCGUAAAACCCCCAACGCUUUCUUUGGUUGACCUCAGAUCAGGUAGGAAUACCCGCUGAACUUAAGCAUAUCAUAAGCGGAGGA
rnacentral:misc_RNA from 1 species